rnacentral:rRNA from 1 species
AUUGAACGCUGGCGGCAUGCCUUACACAUGCAAGUCGAACGGUAACAGGUCUUCGGAUGCUGACGAGUGGCGAACGGGUGAGUAAUACAUCGGAACGUGCCCGAGAGUGGGGGAUAACGAGGCGAAAGCUUUGCUAAUACCGCAUACGAUCUCAGGAUGAAAGCAGGGGACCGCAAGGCCUUGCGCUCACGGAGCGGCCGAUGGCAGAUUAGGUAGUUGGUGGGAUAAAAGCUUACCAUGCCGACGAUCUGUAGCUGGUCUGAGAGGACGACCAGCCACACUGGGACUGAGACACGGCCCAGACUCCUACGGGAGGCAGCAGUGGGGAAUUUUGGACAAUGGGCGCAAGCCUGAUCCAGCCAUGCCGCGUGCAGGAUGAAGGCCUUCGGGUUGUAAACUGCUUUUGUACGGAACGAAAAGACUCCUUCUAAUAAAGGGGGUCCAUGACGGUACCGUAAGAAUAAGCACCGGCUAACUACGUGCCAGCAGCCGCCGUAAGAC